CGGGCUGAGUAACACGUAGGAACGUACCCCAAACUGAGGCAUAAGCACCAGAAAUGGUGUCUAAUACCGCAUGUGCUCUUCGGAGUAAAGCUACGGCGGUUUGGGAACGGCCUGCGCAUGAUUAGCUUGUUGGUGAGGUAAUAGCUCACCAAGGCGACGAUCAUUAGCUGGUCUGAGAGGAUGAUCAGCCAGACUGGGACUGAGAACGGCCCAG
rnacentral:rRNA from 1 species